UUUUUUUUUUUUUAAACUGUGGUGUCCGUCCGCAUGCGGGCCCGACUAUUCCACAGAGCCCUGGAUGCGCGAUCAUUUUUUCAAUGCCUCCAGUGGCCCUGUGGAGGCUCGAACCUGGGACCUUGAGGACUUUGUCCUCAGUGGUUUUACCAUCUCGGCUACCCCUCAGGGUUGCCAAAGUUUUAACUAAUACUCCCUCCAUCUCAUAGUCAUAGUUAUUAAAUGCUUAAAAUAAUUGACUCAAAUUAUAAAAUUAAAAAUAAAAUUAAAUUUUUUUAUCUUUAAUACUCCCUUCGUUUCAAUUUAUGUGAACCUGUUUGACGGGCACGGAGUUUAAGUAAAAAAUGAAGACUUUUGGAAUUUGUGGUCCUAAACAAGUCCAAAUGGGGUCCAGAGUAUUUGUGUGGUUAUAAAAGCUUCUCAUUAAGGGUAAAGUUGUAACUUUAAGCUAAAUUGUUACCAAAUUUAGAAAGGGUUCAUUCUUUUUGGAACGGAUCAAAAAGGAAAUAGGUUCACAUAAACUAGAACAGAGGGAGUAAUAGUUAUCCUUAAAGACUACAAACACCUCAAUUAUUGAUUAUUUUAUUCAAAUACUAAUAAAGAAAAAAUAAAUAUUAAGAUAUAAAUAAAGAUAAAGUAGUCAAAAUUCCAUCCUAAUUAAUUUUUCUUAAUGAGCAUGUAAUAGAGAAUCAUGACAUAUAAUAUGAGACGGAAAAAGUAAUAUUACCAUUUUGGUUUGAUUUAAUACCAUAAAAACCCCUUAAACUAUUAUGUUUUUGUCAGUUUCUUACUUAAAUUAUUCAGUAUACCUAAAACCCCUCUGAACUAUGUUGCCCUUCAUAUUUUAACUCCUUCUUGCUUACUUGGCCGCUGAAAAAGGCCGUCAAAAUGACCCACCUUAUAAAAUAUAAUGUCUAAUUAGUCUAACCUUCUUUAACUUUUUUUUUAAAAAAAAUAAAUAUUCUCAAUAUUUCCUUUAUAUCCACCUUUCUUCCUUGUUUUUCACCAUUGUUCCUUGUUUUUCACCUUUCUUUUGUAUUUUUUCACCUUCUUCUUCAUUUUUUUUUCCACUUUUUUCCUUCAGUUCUCCAUAUGGGUUCCCUUUGGAAAAAAAUUUCCUCUCAUGUUUCCUUUGAAAUAGUUUAUUUUCUUUCUUUUUUUUAGUCUUCUUUCAUGUCUUAUUCAUAUCGUUGAAAAGACACUCAUUUAGAUCUUCUUAUUAAACCAACACGUUGUUGUAGAGAAUAAGGUUGAACCUCUUAAACCUUACUUGUGUAAUUUAGAAUAAAAGAAUGUAGUUGUUGGCCAAUUGGUUUUUUAUUUUGCGUAAUCUUGUUUAUGUAAUAUAAGAUAAUUUUUCAUAAAUGCAAUAUUAUAUGCCUUUAUUUAUUUUUUAUUCUGUUGCAAAAUAAAUGUAAAUGAAGACUUAUUCAAUUGGAGUUUGGCAUAGAGUACAAUCAUAGUUAAACUUAAAAUUAACCCAUUACAUUAGAUACUAUUUUGGCCAAAACUCCUAGCAUUAAUCAGUCAUUCGAGAGUAAUACAUUAUGGAUAGACUACGUAAAAAUUUAGUACAAACUAUAAGGUAAUGUAGUUAGAAAGAUGUACCUGUAAGAAUUUGAUAUGAGGUUUUAAUAUAUAGGAAAAUAUAGAUCGGGAGGGUUUUGGCUAGAUAACUUAAGCAGGUAACUGAUAAUUUUUUAAAAAUAGUUUAUGGAGGUUUUAGACUAAGUUAAAUAGCUAUAUGUAGUGUCACAUGGCAUGUUUUUUUAGAUAAUUAGGAGCAUGUACUAGUUGCACCUCUAAGAAUGCAACGAGGGGUAUUAAUAUGAAGGGCAAUAUAUUUCGGGGGAAUGGGGGUUUUGGAGGCACCAAAUAGUUUAAGUAGUAAACUGACAAAAAUGUGAUAAUUUAGAGAGGUUUUAGGAUAUUAACUCUUUUGGUUUUAUAGCGAUAUUAGCUAGUAAUAUAUCAAACAUGAGAUAACCAUAAUUCAAAAUUUUAUACCAAAAUUAAUAAUCUUAUCUCGAUAACCAAACGAUCCAUUCCUUGAAGAGCCGUACUAUCACGUGUUACAUACUAGUACUAGCAUUAAAGCACAAAACUAUUUUAACUAUUUUAAAAAUUAUAAUUUUUUAAAUUUAGUUCUUAACACUACUUCAAACAAUACCGAUAAAUUACCGAUCGACAAAUUAUGGUUGAUAAGAAGAAAAAAAUAUUUUUUUAAGAUUCUUGACUUACAUGCCUUCAGAGGCGGAUUUACAGUAUAAAAUAUGGUUCACGUGAACCCGUGGUCCACGGGUUAAACUAUAGAUAUGAUGUAUAUAAUUUGGCAAAAAUAGGUAUAUAUAUUUGAUGGAAUCCUUGGUAAAAAAGAUGAAGUAGUUCAUUGGUUUUGGUCUCUUAUUUCCAAUAGCCUUUAAGGGAUCAAAUUCCCAACCAACUUUUUUGUUUAAUUUUUUUUAAAAAAAUAGUGGUGAACCCAUCCUCCGGAAAUCCUAGAUCCGCACCGUCUUCCAUGUUAGAUUCAUCGUUGGACCUUGUUACCGUGCCGAAAAAGACGUUAUAGCAACCAUCCUGGGCCUUCCUUCAAAAUUUGUCAAAAAUACUUAGCGCGUCGAUACAUCUAUGUUCUUGUAAUCUUACAUAUCUCUAAUGUGCUGUGGUAGAGUUUGAUUGUCUUAGUUUUUUUUGUAACUUAAAAACUUAUAUACCAUAGCAGUUUUUGAUAGCAAACGUUGUUUUUAAGGUAAAUAUUUUCUUUAGAAAUAACAUAAUCCCAUAUUAGUUAAAAUAUUUGUUAAAAUACAAAAUCGUGUGAUGAAUCAUAUGAAUAUAAAUGAAUAUGAGGGACGACGUUAUAUGAUUAGAACACUGAAGAACGAAUUUGGCCAGUACUGGAGCUCUAUGAAAUUAAGUACAGUUUGUCUUGAACUACAAGCUGGUUUAAUUUUUCACAUAGUACAGCUCUGAUCAAGUGCAUCAAAAUGUAUAGCAUAUUGCCGAAUUGUAAAAUUACAGAGUAGGGGCUCUUUCAGCAGUUCCAGCAAUGACAGUGAGCAAGUUGUUGCCAAAGGGAUCACUCAAAUGAGCAGCCAAAUUCUCAACUGGACCUUUUCCUGUCACAUAGGCUUGGAUGAAGAAACCAAGCAUUGCAAACAUGGCUAGUC
rnacentral:lncRNA from 1 species